rnacentral:rRNA from 1 species
GUGGGGAAUCUUCCGCAAUGGACGAAAGUCUGACGGAGCAACGCCGCGUGAGUGAAGAAGGUUUUCGGAUCGUAAAGCUCUUUCGUUAGGGACGAACGUGCUCUUUGUGAAUAAUGAGGAGUAAUGACGGUACCUAAAUAAGAAGCCACGGCUAACUACGUGCCAGCAGCCGCGGUAAUACGUAGGUGGCAAGCGUUGUCCGGAAUUAUUGGGCGUAAAGCGCGCGCAGGCGGGAUAUCAAGUCUGUCUUAAAAGUGCGAGGCUCAACCUCGUGAGGGGACAGAAACUGGUAUUCUUGAGUGUCGGAGAGGAAAGUGGAAUUCCAAGUGUAGCGGUGAAAUGCGUAGAGAUUUGAAAGAACACCAGUGGCGAAGGCGACUUUCUGGACGAUGUCUGACGCUGAGGCGCGAAAGCUAGGGGAGCGAACGGGAUUAGAUACCCGUGUAGUCC